rnacentral:tRNA from 1 species
GCCGAGGUGGCGAAAUGGUAGACGCAAAGGACUUAAAAUCCUUCGAGCAACUUGCUCGUGCCGGUUCAAGUCCGGCUCUCGGCA